rnacentral:rRNA from 1 species
GAUGAACGCUGGCGGCGUGCUUAACACAUGCGAGUCGAACGAUGAAGCCCAGCUUGCUGGGUGGAUUAGUGGCGAACGGGUGAGUAACACGUGAGUAACCUGCCCUUAACUCUGGGAUAAGCCUGGGAAACUGGGUCUAAUACCGGAUAGGAGCGCCUACCGCAUGGUGGGUGUUGGAAAGAUUUAUCGGUUUUGGAUGGACUCGCGGCCUAUCAGCUUGUUGGUGAGGUAAUGGCUCACCAAGGCGACGACGGGUAGCCGGCCUGAGAGGGUGACCGGCCACACUGGGACUGAGACACGGCCCAGACUCCUACGGGAGGCAGCAGUGGGGAAUAUUGCACAAUGGGCGAAAGCCUGAUGCAGCGACGCCGCGUGAGGGAUGACGGCCUUCGGGUUGUAAACCUCUUUCAGUAGGGAAGAAGCGAAAGCGACGGUACCUGCAGAAGAAGCACCGGCUAACUACGUG